rnacentral:rRNA from 1 species
CCUACGGGAGGCAGCAGUGGGGAAUAUUGGGCAAUGGACGCAAGCCUGACCCAGCAACGCCGCGUGAAGGAAGAAGGCUUUCGGGUUGUAAACUUCUUUUAUUAGGGACGAAAAAAGUGACGGUACCUGACGAAUAAGCCACGGCUAACUACGUGCCAGCAGCCGCGGUAAUACGUAGGUGGCAAGCGUUGUUCGGAUUGACUGGGUGUAAAGGGCGUGUAGGCGGGGAGGCAAGUCAGAUGUGAAAACCACGGGCUCAACCUCGGGCCUGCAUUUGAAACUGUAGUUCUUGAGUACAGGAGAGGAAGGUGGAAUUCCUAGUGUAGCGGUGAAAUGCGUAGAUAUUAGGAGGAACAUCAGUGGCGAAGGCGGCUUGCUGGACUGCAACUGACGCUGAGGCGCGAAAGCGUGGGGAGCAAACAGGAUUAGAUACCCCUGUAGUC